rnacentral:rRNA from 1 species
CAUAAACAAUAUGGAGUAUACAAUUAAGUAAUAAAAGGGAUUCGUAAGGAUACCUAGCAGAUAUAUUUAAAAGGAUAUAUUUAUAAAAAGUUGAAGUUACUAAUUUGAAUACUUUAACAAUCCUAAGGAAAACCAAUAUAAUAAAAUACGUUGGGAAUUAAAACAUUUAAGUACCAAUAGGAAAGGAAAUCAAACGAGACUUCUGGAGUAAUGGUGAGUGAAACAGAAUAAGCCUUAUUCUAGAAUUAUUAUGUUAUUUUCACUAUUGUAAGAUAGUGAAGUAGGACUUAUUAAUAUUGUGGAAUUCAAUAUUAUACUGUGUUAUAAACAUGGUUACCAAAGACGGUGACAGUCCGGUGAUAAUCAUCUAAUUAUUAGUGAUAGUCCUAUUAAUAAUUUUAGAAUGAAAUAAAGUAAUAUGGAGACGGCUGCUCUGUAUGAAUUUAUCUAUCUAAGAAAUUAGAUAAUGGGAUACCAUUCUCAAAGGCUAAGUAUAAUAUAUCUAGCGAUAGUGAAGAGUAACGUGAGUGAAAGGUGAAAAGUAAGUGUAUGACUAGUGAAAGAGAUCUUGAAUUACGAAUCCUACAAGCAGUUAGAGUCUAAUAGAAUUAGAUGAUAACGUACCUUUUGCAUAAUGGGUCAGCAAGUUAAUUUUCAAUGCAAGACUAAUUAGUCCUAGUGAAAACGUCUAUGUGUUAUUUUCUAAUACAUGGGUAGAGUAUUGAGAAUUAGAUCCGAAACCAGAUGAUCUUUUUAUGACCAGGUUUAAAAGGACCGAACGUAUGAAUGUUGCAGUAUUCUGCGAUGAGUUGUGAAAAGGGGUAAAAUGCCAAUCUAAUCUGGUGAUAGCUGAUAUUCUGCGAAAUCUAUUUUAGUAGAAAGUAUAUGUAGAUAUAUUUCUGUAUAGCACUGAUUUCCAUUUCUCGUAGUCUUAUUAGGCUACAUAUAGAAUAAAUUAGGGGGUUAUAAACUCUACUAUUGGAAGUUAACCUCAGAAGGAGAUACUAUCGGUCAUAUACUGACAGUCUAUUUGUGAUAAGGUAAAUAGACAAAAGGGAAACAGCCCAGAUCAUAUAUUAAGGUACCCUAAAUAAUAUUAAGUGAAAAUAAGAGAGUUUUGUGUUCAAGACAGCUAUGAAGUAAGCUUGGAAGUAGCUAUCUUUUAAUGAAAGUGUAACAACUCAAUAGUCGAUUUUCUGGACACAAAGCAUCGAAGAUUUAUCGGGUCUAGAUAUUAAACCUAAAUUAUGAUAUUAAUGAAUUCAUUGUAUUUUCUUAUUUGAAUUCUUAAUAAGGUAGCAGAACACUUAGUAGUUAGGUUGAAGAAUAUUCUUAAGAAUAUUUGGACUCUACUAAAGAGAGAAUGCUGGCAUGAGUAACGAUUAAGAAGUUAAAAUACUUCUCGCCGAAUACGAAAGGUUUUCAUGAAAAAGGUAAUCUGUCAUGAUUUACACGGAUUCUAAGGUGUAAUAUACGAAUUGUUAUUACCCGAUGAAAUAGAAGAAUACUAUUCCUGAAGUAGUAGUAAGGAACAAGAAAAAUAUUCUUUUAAUUUAAUUAUAUCCGUACCUUAAACCGACACAGGUUCGUAGGUAGAGUAUACUAAGGCGUAGAGAUAAGGCUAGUGAAGGAACUCGGCAAAAUGCUUCCGUAAGUUCGACGAUAAGGAAGGAGUGUAUAUUUACUAUACACUUAGCAUAAAAGUGGGGGCUUCGACUGUUUACUAAAAACACAGCAACUUGCUAAGACUAGAAGUACUUGUAUAAGUUGUGAACUCUGUCCAAUGCCAAUCCGUGUAAGGGAGGUGAUUUUAGCAUUAAGCUAAUUGUCACUAACUGAUGCGGUGGUCAAUGACGGUCUUAACCAUAAGGAUCUGAAAGUAGCAUAUAAUAUUGUUCAAAUAUAAUCGCUGCUCCUGUUACGUUUCGUAUGUCAUUUACGAAAGCUGAGCCAUUACUCAGUAAGUAACUUGAAUUCUUCUAUAUGCUGGAAUAUCCUAAAGUCAUCUGUGUUAUUAUCUUUUGAUAAUUAAAUUAAUGGUAACACUACAUGAAUGAUUAUUAUAUAAUAAUUUAAGAUAUAAUAUGAAAUGGACAAUCAGCAGGAAACCAAAUUAUCUGUAUUUUUAGAUAAAAGUAGGAUCCUCAGAGACUACACGAAGAAGAUAUUAUCACAUUAAAUAUGAAUGACAAAUAAUCUAAAAUAAAAAAAAUAAUGAAAAAAGUAUAGAAAAUUCAUCCUGCUUGGCUAUCUGGAUUUAUUGAUGGAGAAGGAACAUUCUCUAUUGAUAUUCUAAAAAAUAAUACGGUAGCUCUAAAUUAUCAAGUACAACUUCGGUUUGUACUUACUCAACAUAUUCGAGAUAAAGAACUAAUGUAUGCAAUUAAGGAUUUUCUUGGUUGUGGUACAAUGGUUAAGGAUACUGAACUAAAACUACAGCUACGUAUCCGAUCUCUAAAAGAUCUAGAGAAUAAACUAUUUCCAAUUCUGGAUGCAUAUCCUCUUCAAACUCAAAAAUAUCUUGAUGAACAAGUGUUCCGUCAAGUAUUUGUUAUGAUGAAGAAUGGAGAACAUCUAACAAUUGAAGGACUAAAUAAAAUUCGAUAUCUAAAAUCAACUAUGAAUCGCAGGACGAAUGCUUAUUUAUAAAAAUAAUAUUUUAGAUUAUUUUGAUAAUAUUAUGAUAUAGUCCAACAUUAUACGAAAGUAUAAUGAGUAUCAGAGCGAAAUUCCUUGGCCAUUAAAUGUGGUCCUGCAUGAAUGAGGUAACGCGGCCCUGCUGUCUCCACUAGCUCCUCAGUGAAAUUGAAUUA